GUCAGGUGUGGUGGCUCACACCUGUAAUCCCAGUACUUUGGGAGGCUGAGGCAGGAGGAUUGCUCGAGCCUAGGAGUUCAAGAUUGGUCUAGGCAACAUGGCAAAAGCCCAUCUCUACAAAAAGUAAAAAAUUUGCUGGGCAUGGUGGCACAUGCCUGUAGUCCCAGCUACUUAGGAGGCUGAGGUGGGAGGAUCGAUUGAGCCAGGGAGUUUCAGGCUGCAGUGAGCCAUGAUCAUGUCUCUGCACUCCAGCCUGGGCAACAGAGCAAGACCCUGUCUCA
ensembl:misc_RNA Metazoa_SRP Metazoan signal recognition particle RNA